ACUCAACUAAAGAGUCCCAAACAAGACGAAACGUGUGUCCUGGAU
rfam:Schistosoma curassoni strain Dakar, Senegal genome assembly, scaffold: SCTD_scaffold0005271